CACGAGUGGGCUGCACAUUAGAUUUCCUGCUGGACCCACGAGCUGGUGCACUUUUAUAUUUAGCAGAGCUCGAGUUUCCAGAAGCCCAUUCACUGUCAGCAGACUAACAGAGGCACAACGAAUAUCUCUCUCUCCAGGCUACAAGACGACUCACGCGUGUGUGUUUAUGUCCUUGUGUGUGUGAGACAGAGAGAUGGCAAGUGUCGAAACGCCUAAAUGCGAAUUAAGAGCCGAAUGGUGACCUUCUUGGGGAGAAAAGGGCUGGUGAGAAAAUAAUUUCCAAAUGCAUCUUGCAAUGAUUGACAGAAUAAUGAAAAUGAUAUUUGCUGAUACAAGCAAUCGAGCAAUGUGAUCUUAUCAUACCUGAUGUGCGUACCUCGAUGACACGACAGAUUGCAAAAUUGCAUUUUUGUCAAAGGAAAAAGGGGCAGAGACAUUAUAAAGGAAGUCUUUAAUAGCGAAAGAGGAAGAAGAUUGAUUUGACUUCCAGCAGUCUUGAGAUCUAGCAAGUUUGAACUUCAGAAAUGCUCUGUUCUUCCUUGAAAAAUGACCUAUUACUGGAAGAUAUGCCUCCACCCUUUUGUGUAUAUUAGAAAUCUGUGAUGGCUCCGCCCCAUUUUUGCAAGUUCAUACUGCAGGAAAUUAUAUC
ensembl:processed_transcript